UACGGAGGGUGCAAGCGUUGUCCGGAAUCACUGGGCGUAAAGGGCGCGUAGGCGGCUCAUGAAGGCUGUGGUGAAAGUCCGGGGCUCAACCUCGGAUCGGCCGUGGCGACUCGUGGGCUGGAGCACUGUAGAGGCGGGUGGAAUUCCUGGUGUAGCGGUGAAAUGCGUAGAUAUCAGGAGGAACACCUGUGGUGUAGACGGCUCUCUGGACCGCAACUGACGCUGAGACACGAAAGCGUGGGUAGCAAACAGG
rnacentral:rRNA from 1 species